CCCCUUCACUCUCCUUAUCUUCAUCGUUAAUUAAUUCAAUUUCACCAUACAAAAUUUUUCAUAUUACAAUAUUCACCCACAAUUAACAGAAAAAUAAAAACAAAAAUCUCUCACAAAGUCUUCGUAUGAAUAGAGACUGCUAAUCACUAUAUAUAUAUUCCCGCCAAAAAUGCCACGUCACUAGUCAACUAACCAGUGAACCCAUUUGCAAAAAUGGACGAAAUAGCCCCUCGUACACUAUCGAGCUUCAAGGGCAAAAUCGUCAAAGUCAAAUUCGCCGAAUUCAUCGCCGUAGUAUUUCUCCGUCAUAGCAAAAUCCGGCAGCCGGAAAAGUGAAUCAACGUCGAAACCAAAAGCAUCCACUUCGCAGAACCCUAGAUUGUCAAACGGCGCAAAAUCAUUGUCACAGAGAACUGAGGUGGGUGACAAAGCGACAUCGUUUUCGCUUUUAUCUCCACCGUCGGCAACAGACUCGGUUUCGGUUUCCGUAACCGUCACCGUUACCUCCGCCGUUGUUGAUACCGGAAAAUUGGUAACGGCGUCAGGACCUUUGAGCUUAACUGCAGCUUUAUCGUAAACGACAGCUGCUUCUUCUGGGGUGUCAUAAGUACCCAACCACACCCGUUUUCCCCGGGUCGGGUCCCGAAUCUCUGCAGCCCAACGACCCCACGGUCUUUGACGAACGCCUCUAAACUUUUUCCGACGAGUGACGUCAGAAUCCGGAGACACCGAUCUUCGUUUUCUGUCGCCGAUCGAUUUGGUUGACGGCAUAAGGUUGAUCUCCGUCACGUGCCUCUUCACUCUCCGUACAGUAUUCCGGCCUUCAUCAUCGGAAGAAUCUGUAGCAUCGGCAUCUGUAAGUAUAAUCCUCACAACUCUUUGUAACUCUGAAUUGGAUUUUUCGUUAUGCUCAGAAAAAACAUGCUUGUUUGUAGUUACUAUGUGUUGAGUGAAUUUAAUCACCGGAACUGAAUUUUCCGUCAUGGUAUACCAAAAACUUAAAGUUACAGUUCGAUUUAAAAGAUAUUUUUUUCAAAGAGCACAAAAAAAAA
rnacentral:misc_RNA from 1 species